AGAUUAUCAGCGUCGCUCCGCUCGUUGUCUCCGAUUGUUAAGUAAAAUCGAAAGAUCGAAAAGCCGGUCCUCCUGCGUGCCGUAUCGUAUCCACUGACGCUGAUCGAUGAGAAGUUCCAACAUUUUCCUCGAUCGUGAUCGGUUCGCUUUUACGAAUCAGAUCG